UCCUGGAGGGCAGGAAUGGGGUCACUUCCCUCUGCAUCACCAGCACCCAGGACGCGGCUGGUCUCAGAAGAAGGGAAGCUCCAGGUGUGGUGAGGAAACCCAAAGGAAGGAAGAGGUUAAACCCAGCUGUUUGUCCAGCCUCCUGGCCUCCAUUCCACCCUGAACACUGCCGAGACGGCUCUCGCCAAGGGCGCCAGAGUCCCAUCUUCUUGUCGCAAGUAUCCUGAGCAGCCAGUAGAUGGCCACACUGAGGUCCCUCCGUGACUAGCCGUCCUACUUCUCCAGCUUCUGUGCUCCUGCUCUUGAGGGGACACUUUACACUGCAUGAGGUUCUCCAGCCUCCCGUUCCCUCUCCUCCCACAGGGAUUCACAUCUUCGUGCCUGUUGUUCAUGUUGACGGCUCGUGUUCCUUCUGCCAGCCUCACGUCCUUCAGGUUGGCUCUCUGACACUGCUUUCCCUCUUCAUGUUCCAUGUCUGUGAGUUCCUGGAGAGCAGGACAUCCCCAGGACAUCUGGCAUAAUCCCUGCAUAGAGCAAGGGCUUGGUGUUUGUUGAGUGACUGAAUAUGUCAGUGAGUCCCAGCUCUGCCAAUUAAAUCCGUUGCAUGACCUUAAGCCAAUCACUUCACGCCAGUAGGACUUAGCUUUCCUUUCCUUAAAUGGACAUUAAAAAGAGGAUCUGCUUCAUAUUUGUAGUGAGAGUCCAUCAUAAGGCCCCAGUCAAAGAUCUGGCAUGCGGUAGCCCCACACUUGCCAUGCCCAGUACCUGCCAGUCACUCAGCACGUAGUCCUAUUGCCCACCAGCUGGUGCCCACCUGUGCUCCCUCUUUUCACCUGGCCCAGUUGAAGGUAUUAAAAAUGGUUUUACUUUGGGGUGCCUGGGUGGCUCAGUCAGUUA